rnacentral:rRNA from 1 species
AUGCCUCAAGUCAAGUCUAGUAACAAGAACAAGAAGGAAUCUUCCUCUAGUAGUAACAAUAAUCAUGCUAAAUCCAAUGUUGUUGCUUCUAGUAGUUCUCUUGAUUCCACUAAUGAUUCUCUUAACCAAGUUACACUUGAGCAAGAAAAUAGCUUAUUGAAGGGAAUUAUAGAGAAAGUGUUUACAAGAGCCUUGCCGGGAGUAAGCAAUUUGAGGAAAUUGUACGCAAGCAAGGAAGGCACCGGAAGAACCAAGGUGUUGGUUUUGAACGAAAGUUCAAUGCCAAUUGAGUUGAGUGGGAAGAAGAUCAAUACCCCAAGACGAAGUUUGUUCCUCAACAAGAGAAGUAUGAUCCUACUUCCUUCAAAGGGACACAAGCCCAAGAUGAUCUUCCACCACAAGACCACAAGCAAAAAGGCAAGGACAAGCUUCAAGAGGAGAUUGAUGCAUUUGAAGAAGCUCCUAAAGCCUUGGUCAAGUGGGUUCCCAAGACUACAUCAAGUUCUACUUCAUCAAGUACAAAUACAACUCCAAGGAUUCCCAUCAAGAUGA